rnacentral:rRNA from 1 species
AACGAACGCUGGCGGCAUGCCUAACACAUGCAAGUCGAACGAGACCUUCGGGUCUAGUGGCGCACGGGUGCGUAACGCGUGGGAACCUGCCUUUAGGUUCGGAAUAACUCAGAGAAAUUUGAGCUAAUACCGGAUGAUGUCUUCGGACCAAAGAUUUAUCGCCUUUAGAUGGGCCCGCGUUGGAUUAGCUAGUUGGUGGGGUAAAGGCCUACCAAGGCGACGAUCCAUAGCUGGUCUGUGAGGAUGAUCAGCCACACUGGGACUGAGACACGGCCCAGACUCCUACGGGAGGCAGCAGUGGGUAAUAUUGGACAAUGGGCGAAAGCCUGAUCCAGCAAUGCCGCGUGAGUGAUGAAGGCCUUAGGGUUGUAAAGCUCUUUUACCCGAGAUGAUAAUGACAGUAUCGGGAGAAUAAGCUCCGGCUAACUCCGUGCCAGCCGCCGCAGUAAGAC